AUGAAGGACUUGGUGGGGCUGGGGCACUUGUUCGUGGUGGCAUUCCUCUUCCACUUCUCCUCCUUCAUGGUGCUCCCGGCGAUCACCGACGUGACCAUGGAGGCCGUCUGCCCCGGCCGCGACGAGUGCUCCGUCGCCAUCUAUCUCAGCGGCUUCCAGAACGCCAUCACAGGGCUGGGGGCUCUGGUAGUGACUCCUAUCGUCGGGAAUUUGUCGGACAAGUACGGCCGGAAGGCGCUGAUGACGCUGCCGGUGACCGUCGCCAUUUUGCCUCUCUUUAUAUUGGCGUGCAACCGAUCGGAGGUGUACUUCUACGCGUACUACGUGAUGAAGAUCCUCGCCGGGAUCUUCUGCGAGGGCAGCAUCCACUGUCUCUUGCUUGCUUACGUGGCGGACCACGUAGGGACCAAACGGCGGGCGGCGGCGUUCGGGCUCCUCUCAGGCGUGUCGGCGGCCGGCUUCCUCUCGGGGACCCUCACCGCGCGGUUCCUCGCCACCUCCUCCACCUUUCAGGUCGCCGCGGCCGUCGGUGCAGCGGGAGCCAUCUACCUCAGGGCAUUCGUCCCGGAUUCCGGCGCUGCUGUCUCCUUCCAUGACGAUGCCUGCGAUCCCCUGCUCCAAGACUCGUCCUGCUCCUCUGCAGCUUCGUCUUCCGCUUCCUCUGACGAAGAGCUGUCGCCGAGGCUUCCGCCCUACAAGGGCGUGCUGCCGUCGCCGUCCGACAUGGUCGCACUUCUCACUGGCAGUUUGACCUUGUCAACGGCGGCAAUGAUCACUUUCUUUUACAGUCUCGGUGAACACGGACUUCAGACUGCAUUACUGUACUACCUGAAAGCACAGUUUGGUUACAGCAAAGACGAGUUUGCUAAUCUAAUGCUGAUUGCCGGUGCUGCGGGAAUGAUCUCACAGUUAACAGUAAUGCCAAUAUUUGCUCCAAUCGUGGGUGAGGAGAUGCUACUUAUUGUUGGGCUGUUAGGAGGAUGCACUCAUGUUUUCCUAUAUGGCAUCGCAUGGUCGUACUGGGUGCCAUAUUUUGCUGCAGCAUUUAUAAUUUUGAGUGCUUUUGUUCACCCAUCUAUAAGGACCAAUGUGUCAAAAAGUGUUGGAUCAAAUGAGCAGGGAAUUGCUCAAGGGUGUAUAUCGGGAAUUAGUUCUUUUGCCAGCAUAUUAGCUCCACUCAUCUUCACUCCCUUGACAGCAUGGUUCCUUUCAGAAACAACGCCGUUCAACUUCAAAGGCUUCAGCAUUAUGGUUGCUGGUUUUUGCACGCUCACUGCCUUUGUCAUCAGCAUUAGGAUGCGCGCGGCGAGAUGUGGAGUUAGCGAGAAAGUGAGCCUUGUGCAGCAUGAGCAAGCAUGA
rnacentral:rRNA from 1 species